GACGAACGCUGGCGGCGUGCUUAACACAUGCAAGUCGAACGGAAAGGCCCUGCUUUUGUGGGGUGCUCGAGUGGCGAACGGGUGAGUAACAAGUGAGUAACCUGCCCUUGACUUUGGGAUAACUUCAGGAAACUGGGGCUAAUAACGGAUAGGAGCUCCUGCUGCAUGGUGGGGGUUGGAAAGUUUCGGCGGUUGGGGAUGGACUCGCGGCUUAUCAGCUUGUUGGUGGGGUAGUGGCUUACCAAGGCUUUGACGGGUAGCCGGCCUGAGAGGGUGACCGGCCACAUUGGGACUGAGAUACGGCCCAGACUCCUACGGGAGGCAGCAGUGGGGAAUAUUGCACAAUGGGCGGAAGCCUGAUGCAGCAACGCCGCGUGCGGGAUGACGGCCUUCGGGUUGUAAACCGCUUUCGCCUGUGACGAAGCGUGAGUGACGGUAAUGUGUAAAGAAGCACCGGCUAACUACGUG
rnacentral:rRNA from 1 species